AGUGAACGCUGGCGGUAGGCCUAACACAUGCAAGUCGAACGGCAGCACAGUAAGAGCUUGCUCUUACGGGUGGCGAGUGGCGGACGGGUGAGGAAUACAUCGGAAUCUACUUUUUCGUGGGGGAUAACGUAGGGAAACUUACGCUAAUACCGCAUACGACCUACGGGUGAAAGCAGGUGAUCUUCGGACCUUGCGCGAUUGAAUGAGCCGAUGUCGGAUUAGCUAGUUGGCGGGGUAAAGGCCCACCAAGGCGACGAUCCGUAGCUGGUCUGAGAGGAUGAUCAGCAACACUGGAACUGAGACACGGUCCAGACUCCUACGGGAGGCAGCAGUGGGGAAUAUUGGACAAUGGGCGAAAGCCUGAUCCAGCAAUACCGCGUGGGUGAAGAAGGCCUUAGGGUUGUAAAGCCCUUUUGUUGGGAAAGAAAAGCAGCAGGUUAAUACCCCGCUGUUCUGACGGUACCCAAAGAAUAAGCACCGGCUAACCUCGUG
rnacentral:rRNA from 1 species